UAGUAUAGUGUAGAUUAGAGGUUUAUAUUUUGAUGUAUUAUAAACCCGUUAGUGUAUAUAGUGUGCAGAUAUAGUCAGUGAUCCUGUUGUGGAUAUGGGUUUGACCAUGGACGGAUUGGGAAGCAGGUAUAUAUAGAUAUAUGUGCAGAUCAGUUGUGCCUGUGAUAAUGUAUUGCUAUAUAUUGUCCAGGUUUAUUAUGUAACAGAUUAUGUGAUUGCUGCUCUGACAGGUAGUGUUGUAUGGAUUGAGAUAAUCCUGACAGGUCAAUAUAGAAAAGGUGAUCAUUUUGUGCAUGCAUCAUGCCAAAAUUUUCAGGAU
rnacentral:lncRNA from 1 species